AGUCACAGAAGAAACUACAGUCCCUGGGGAGUGAGGUGACGAUGCUGUCCUCUACUGUCACCGCUGGAUAGUGCAAAGGACCAGGAGCAGACUUGUAUAAUGACAAGGCCUCGUGCAGAUGAAGUGAUUUUUCUUCCAAGGCAAGGCCCAGCUUGACAGUCUUGAUCCUACCUCCAGACACCGUAUGGUCGAUAGAUGAUUAAGAUAUGAGCCCUUGGGUGUUUGUGCCACCAUGCCUGCUGCCUGCUACCUGCCACCACAAGUCUGUGCUAUAGCGUAUGCUUAUCCUUCUUGAGCCAUAAACCAAAUAAAGUUUUUCUUCUAUAAAUA
rnacentral:lncRNA from 1 species